UACCAGUUGUUGUUUUUUUCUGCACCCUUUAUGUUUGGUUCUGUAUUUGAAAAGUUCCUUAUGACAACUAAAAUCUUUACUGCCACUGACGCAGUUUGAAACAUGCACUCACGUUUGUUUCAAUGGGGUUUUUUUUUCUCUAUAAAGACAAACCAAAAAAGAACAAUGACAGCACUCAAUGCUAAAUAUUUUCUCGCCACUUUUCUGCCUUCAGUGCCCCAGCAUGCAGCGUCUAUUUUAUAGAGCUCCAUCCACUAAUAGGGUAUUUACCGGCCAGAGUGCAAGCCAAAGUGCAAUAAAGCAUAGCUGAAGCUUUGCUGAGACUGCAUGUGAUCUGCUGAGAAGCCCAAGAAAGCCAAUUGGACAUGCAGUGCCUGCUCUGAUCUGCUCUGCAGAGCCUUCCAGCCUUAUGUCCACGACUUUGAACAUUACUCAGGACCUUGAAGUUAACCACACCUGACAUUUCCUCAGAAUCUUCCGCUCAACGUUGCAAGCAGAUCAACGUUUGAAGAUUCUCAUCUUUAAAAUUGCCAGAUCACAAAGAUUCGGACCUGUAAAGACGCUCAGCAAGCUCAAGCGGUAGACACACAGAUUCGAGGGCUGAAAAUCCUCGGCGUCAACGUGAUGCCAAAACAUUUUACAGUUUAUACGGGCAAGGAUGACUCACCAUCUGUUCACGGUGACGCAGGCCAGAUUUGCUGCCAUUUGUACAAAACACAAGCAUAAUGUCUUCUUCUAAAUCAUGUUGUGACUUGCAAAAAUAAAAUUAAAUUAAUAACUUAGCACAUAUGGGUCAACUUUGCUGAUGGAUUGCUUGAAUCAGCUGUAAUGCUUUAAAUCUCGAAUCGGUUGUACGUUUGAUCGGACUGUACGGAAGCUCAGUUCCCACAAAAAAAGAGAGAUGUACAAAUUGAAACAGCUCCGACAGGAGACCUAGCUCAAAGAGCCUAGCCCUAUUUGAACACGCACAUGCACCCGUGCAUAUAUGCACAUAUGCAAGAAUGCACAAUUGUGCGCAUGGCGCAAAACAGUGACAAAUGCCUGUUGAGGGAUUUUCACCGCUAAGCCCCCAGGAGGUGAAAUCCCUUUGACAGAUGGGAAGCUGUUUUUUCCAUAACAGCGCAUUGCUCCCUGUUUACAAGAACCUUCAGAGUGGAAGCUCACUGAUUACCGACAGGAAUGCAACAGCACAGUUCGUCCCCCAAGAGUUCCAGCUCUGUAAGGUAAAGGGCAAACAGUGGAGGAGCACACACAGAUGAAUCAUAGUUUGAUACACGCAUCAGUAGUUCUGUGAUGCACUUAGGAACUUUCAAGAAAUUACAAUAAAAUGUCAUGCACACCUAACAGUAGACAACUGAACACACCAAGAAUAUGAUAAAACCGCAUUGACUUGUUCGACACAAAGCCAAUGGCAGCACCCACUGUACGUUGAGACAAGUAAGAACAAUGCAUGUCUCCGCCACUCGCUGGAGACUUCCAGUAACAACAUAAAAUGUUUCUGGACUUGCUACUUGUCACUUAAAAACAACAACAACAACAA